rnacentral:rRNA from 1 species
GACGAACGCUGGCGGCGUGCUUAACACAUGCAAGUCGAACGGAAAGGCCCUGCUUUUGUGGGGUGCUCGAGUGGCGAACGGGUGAGUAACACGUGAGUAACCUGCCCUUGACUUUGGGAUAACUUCAGGAAACUGGGGCUAAUACCGGAUAGGAGCUCCUGCUGCAUGGUGGGGGUUGGAAAGUUUCGGCGGUUGGGGAUGGACUCGCGGCUUAUCAGCUUGUUGGAGGGGUAGUGGCUUACCAAGGCUUUGACGGGUAGCCGGCCUGAGAGGGUGACCGGCGACAUUGGGACUGAGAUACGGCCCAGACGCCUACGGGAGGCAGCAGUGGGGAAUAUGGCACAAUGGGCGGAAGCCUGAGGCAGCAACGCCGCGUGCGGGAUGACGGCCUUCGGGUUGUAAACCGCUUUCGCCUGUGACGAAGCGGGAGUGACGGUAAUGGGUAAAGAAGCACCGGCUAACUACGUG